AAGCUACCCGAUAGAGGGGGAUACCAGUUGGAAACGACUGUUAAUACCGCAUAAUGUCUACGGACCAAAGUGUGGGACCUUCGGGCCACAUGCUAUCGGAUGUGCCUACGUGGGAUUAGCUAGUUGGUGAGGUAAUGGCUCACCAAGGCGACGAUCCCUAGCUGGUUUGAGAGGAUGAUCAGCCACACUGGAACUGAGACACGGUCCAGACUCCUACGGGAGGCAGCAGUGGGGAAUAUUGGACAAUGGGCGCAAGCCUGAUCCAGCCAUGCCGCGUGUGUGAAGAAGGCCUUCGGGUUGUAAAGCACUUUCAGUAAGGAGGAAGCGUCGAGUGUUAAUAGUACUCAGCGUUGACGUUACUUACAGAAGAAGCACCGGCUAACUCUGUGCCAGCAGCCGCGGUAAUACAGAGGGUGCAAGCGU
rnacentral:rRNA from 1 species